UUUGUGAAUCCUGCUGAAUCGUUCUCAUCUCUCUUUCUCUUUUCAGAAAAACUCUCCCCCACUUCCACUCUCUCUCUGUCCUCCUGUCGCUGCCUUGCUCCGCCCUUUAUCGCCACCUCCGUCGCCUUCGCCGCCGUAUCUCCGCUGAGUUUCUCUCUCUUCUUUCAAUUAUCUGCUCUGUUGAUCUGCUUCCGGCCUUGCAAUGCAUCGAGUUGGUAGUGCAGGGAAUACAUCUGGUUCAAAUCGCCCUCGUAAGGAGAAGAGAUUGACAUAUGUUCUCAAUGCUUCUGAUGACACAAAGCAUUCUGCCGGUGUAAAUUGCUUGGCUGUAUUGAAGUCAAAUGACAUGUGUAAUAGUGAGUACUUGUUUACUGGUAGCCGUGAUGGAAUAUUGAAGAGAUGGGCUAUUGAAGAAGAAGCAGCUACCUGCUCUGCUACUUUUGAAUCUCAUGUGGAUUGGGUAAAUGAUGCUGUCCUUGUCGGUGAUCAUACGCUUGUGUCCUGUUCUUCUGACACUUCGCUUAAGACAUGGAAUUGCAUGUCCAAUGGUGUAUGCACGAAGACUUUACGUCAUCACUCGGAUUACGUUACCUGUCUAGCUGCAGCAGGAAAAAAUAGCAAUAUUGUUGCCUCUGGUGGCCUCGGCGGGGAGGUUUUUGUUUGGGAUAUAGAAGCUGCACUUGCUCCAGUUUCCAAGUCAAAUGACAGUACAGAGGAAGAGGCUUCAAAUGGAAUUAAUGGUGGUGGGAGUAACCUCCCAAUUACCAGUUUACGCACUAUCAAUUCCAGUAAUUCUUUGCAUUCUACUCCAAGUCAUGGCUAUGUUCCUACUCCUGCCAAAGGGCACAAGGAGUCAGUAUAUGCAUUAGCGAUGAAUGAUAGCGGGACCAUACUUGUUUCUGGUGGAACUGAAAAGGUGGUACGUGUUUGGGACCCAAGAUCUGGUUCAAAGACCACGAAGCUGAGGGGACACACAGAUAAUGUUAGGGCUUUACUUUUGGACUCUACGGGCAGGUAUUGUUUGUCCGGCUCUUCUGAUUCUAUGAUCAGACUAUGGGAUCUUGGUCAGCAGCGAUGUGUGCAUUCAUAUGCUGUUCAUACGGAUUCUGUCUGGGCUCUUGCUAGCACAACAUCAUUUAGCCAUGUCUACAGUGGCGGACGAGACCAGUCUUUAUAUUUGACGGACUUGUCCACUAGAGAAAGCAUUUUACUUUGCACAGAGGAUUACCCAAUUUUGCAGUUGGCGCUUGAUGAUGAAAGCAUAUGGGUCGCAAGUACCGAUUCUUCGGUUCAUAGGUGGCCAGCAGAAGGGCACAAUCCUCAGAAAAUGUUCCAACGAGGAGGUUCCUUCUUGGCUGGGAACUUGUCUUUUUCAAGAGCGAGGGCUUCCCUUGAAGGAUCUACACCUAUUCCAGUAUAUCGGGAACCAACACUCAAAGUACCCGGAAUUCCAGCUAUUGUGCAACAUGAGAUAUUGAAUAAUCGAAGGCGUGUGCUUACCAAGGAUACAGCUGGCUCUGUGAAACUGUGGGAGAUCACAAGGGGCACUGUGAUUGAAGAUUAUGGCGAGGUAUCAUUUGAGGAGAAAAAGAAGGAGCUAUUUGAAAUGGUGAGCAUUCCUGCAUGGUUUACUGUUGAUACGAGGCUUGGUAGCUUGUCUAUUCAUUUGGAUACACCACAAUGUUUUUCAGCAGAGAUGUACUCUGCUGAUCUAGAUAUUGCUGGGAAACCUGAGGAUGAUAAGGUUAAUCUUGCUCGAGAAACACUUAAGGGCCUGUUGGCUCAUUGGUUGGCAAAAAGAAAACAAAGAUUAGGAUCUCAAUCAUCAGCAAAUGGUGAAGUUCAAUCAGUGAAAGAUAUCUCUACCAGAAGCAUGACCCAUUCACGAAUUGAGGUUGAUGGUAGUUCAGAAAAUGAUUCAAUGAUAUAUCCUCCAUUUGAGUUUUCUGCUGUUUAUCCUCCAUCCAUUAUUACUGAGGGCUCUCAAGGGGGUGCAUGGAGGAAAAAGGUAACUGGCAUGGAUGGAACUGAAGAUGAAAAGGAUCUUCCCUGGUGGGUUAUGGAUUGCGUUUUGAACAAUCGUCUACCUCCAAGAGAGAAUACCAAGUGUAGCUUUUACUUACAUCCAUACGAAGGUUCUACUAUCCAAAUUUUGACCCAAGGGAAGUUGAGUGCUCCUCGAAUAUUGAGAAUACUCAAGGUUAUCAACUAUGUUGUUGAAAAGAUGGUCCUUGACAAGUCAAUGGAGGGAGGUGCAACUGGAGAUGGGACAUUUGCCACUGGGUUGGCUGGAGGACCCUUGCAGCAUUCAACAACUGUAGGAGAUGGGUCUCUCCGCUCGGGUUUGAGACCUUGGCAGCGGCCAAAGCCUGCUAUUGAAAUCUUGUGCAAUAAUCAGCUGAAUCUCCUUUUAUCGCGCGUGUAAAUUUCAGGUAUUAACUGCUGAAAUGAGUUUGGCGACUGUACGAACUUAUGUUUGGAAAAAACCAGAGGAUCUGGUACUUCAUUAUCGUGUAAUGCAGGGGAGGUGACUUCACUUAAAGCCACAAGGUUAAUUUACAAUUAAUUUAUUGUAAUGGAGCUAGCUGUUAGGUCAGAGUUGAUAUCGCAUGGAUUGCUUAAUAUUGUUGGGAUAAUAUCGAUUGCUUCAUCUUAUAUUGACAAAGGAAAUUACUGCUGAAUUUAGCAGCAUUCUCGAAAGUUUCUUGAGAAGUUCCUGAUCUGCAUUUUCCAUUGUCAGAAACGUUGCAGAAUCUGAAGCUCAUAUAUUUGAAAUACGAGCUUAUGUGAAUACUGCAACUCUUAACCGUGCAGAGUGCUUGCGAAAUUGAAGAAAUUAUGCGUCUUUUGUGGAGAGCCAAUGCGCUAGAGCUGUGAAUUUUUAGAUGAAUUGAAUCAGGAAUACGAUGUCAAAAGCCGUUGUAGAUUUGUAACUUAAGGGGUUUCAGUCAUAGGAGAUAGAUGUGAAGCACAGCCAUCUGUUUUACUGAAGGAAAUAUGGUCAUUGUCCUGGAAAUAAAAUCAGUAUCCAUUUGUCUGCACAGUUAAUUGGUAUAUAUUUAUUUUCUUAAGCUUUUGCUCA